AGAGUUUGAUCCUGGCUCAGGAUGAACGCUAGCGGCAGGCCUAAUACAUGCAAGUCGAACGGGGCAGCAAUGCCUAGUGGCGCACGGGUGCGUAACGCGUAUGCAACCUACCUUUCAGUGGGGGAUAGCCCGGGGAAACCCGGAUUAAUACCGCAUAAGAUAAUUGAAUGGCAUCGUUUAAUUAUGAAACAUUUAUGGCUGAAAGAUGGGCAUGCGUAAGAUUAGCUAGUUGGUGAGGUAGUAGCUCACCAAGGCAAUGAUCUUUAGGGGUUCUGAGAGGAAGAUCCCCCACACUGGUACUGAGAUACGGACCAGACUCCUACGGGAGGCAGCAGUAGGGAAUAUUGGGCAAUGGAGGCAACUCUGACCCAGCCAUGCCGCGUGCAGGAAGAAGGCCUUCUGGGUUGUAAACUGCUUUUGGAAGGGAACAAAACGGGCAUGCGUGCCAACUUGAGUGUACCUUCAGAAUAAGCACCGGCUAACUCCGUGCCAGCAGCCGCGGUAAUACGGAGGGUGCAAGCGUUGUCCGGAUUUAUUGGGUUUAAAGGGUGCGUAGGCGGCUUAUUAAGUCAGGGGUGAAAGACUGCAGCUCAACUGUAGCAGUGCCUUUGAUACUGAUGAGCUUGAGUACAGAUGAGGCUGGCGGAAUGGGUGGUGUAGCGGUGAAAUGCAUAGAUACCAUCCAGAACACCGAUUGCGAAGGCAGCCGGCUAAACUGUAACUGACGCUGAGGCACGAAAGCGUGGGGAUCGAACAGGAUUAGAUACCCUAGUAGUCC
rnacentral:rRNA from 1 species